rnacentral:rRNA from 1 species
UACGGAGGAUGCGAGCGUUAUCCGGAUUUAUUGGGUUUAAAGGGUGCGUAGGUUGUUUUUUAAGUCAGCGGUGAAAUUUUGUGGCUCAACCAUGAGAGUGCGGCGCGAACUGGAGACCUUGAGUGCGCGGAAGGCAGGCGGAAUUCGUGGUGUAGCGGUGAAAUGCUUAGAUAUCACGAAGAACCCCGAUUGCGAAGGCAGCCUGCCGCAGCGUUACUGACGCUGAAGCUCGAAAGCGCGGGUAUCGAACAGG